AGCGGUAACAGGAAUUAGCUUGCUAAUUUGCUGACGAGCGGCGGACGGGUGAGUAAUGCCUAGGGAACUGCCCAGUCGAGGGGGAUAACAGUUGGAAACGACUGCUAAUACCGCAUACGCCCUACGGGGGAAAAGAGGGGACCUUCGGGCCUUCUGCGAUUGGAUGUACCUAGGUGGGAUUAGCUAGUUGGUGAGGUAAUGGCUCACCAAGGCGACGAUCCCUAGCUGUUCUGAGAGGAUGAUCAGCCACACUGGGACUGAGACACGGCCCAGACUCCUACGGGAGGCAGCAGUGGGGAAUAUUGCACAAUGGGCGCAAGCCUGAUGCAGCCAUGCCGCGUGUGUGAAGAAGGCCUUCGGGUUGUAAAGCACUUUCAGCGAGGAGGAAAGCUUAAGCGUUAAUAGCGUUUAGGUGUGACGUUACUCGCA
rnacentral:rRNA from 1 species